UACGAAGGGGGCUAGCGUUGCUCGGAAUUACUGGGCGUAAAGCGUGCGCAGGCGGUUAUGCAAGACAGAUGUGAAAUCCCCGGGCUCACCUGGGAACUGCAUUUGUGACUGCAUGGCUGGAGUGCGGCAGAGGGGGAUGGAAUUCCGCGUGUAGCAGUGAAAUGCGUAGAUAUGCGGAGGAACACCGAUGGCGAAGGCAGUCCCCUGGGCCUGUACUGACGCUCAUGCACGAAAGCGUGGGGAGCAAACAGG
rnacentral:rRNA from 1 species